GCAGCAGGGCAGAUGAUCGCUGGCCCCUUUCGGGGCUGGAGGAAAGUCCGAGCUCCACAGGGCAGGAUGGUCGCUAACGGCGACUGGGGGCAACCCUAAGGAAAGUGCCACAGAAAAGAUACCGCCCCUCCGGUUUCCGGAGGUCCUUUCGAGGAUUCGGGAUGCGUCCCGAAGGUAAGGGUGAAAAGGCGAGGUAAGAGCUCACCAGUUUCCCGGGUGACCGGGAAAGCUUGGUAAACCCCAUCCGGAGCAAGACCG
rnacentral:RNase_P_RNA from 1 species